GGCGGUAGGCACGUGGAGUGCGCGUCGGCUGUAACCCGACUGCCUUUGGCAAUGGGAGUUCGAUUCUCCCUGCCGCCAC
rnacentral:tRNA from 2 species